rnacentral:rRNA from 1 species
CGUCCCAGUUCGGAUCGCAGGCUGCAACCCGCCUGCGUGAAGUUGGAAUCGCUAGUAAUCGCGGAUCAGCAUGCCGCGGUGAAUACGUUCCCGGGCCUUGUACACACCGCCCGUCACACCAUGAGAGUCGGGAACACCCGAAGUCCGUAGCCUAACCGCAAGGGGGGCGCGGCCGAAGGUGGGUUCGAUAAUUGGGGUGAAGUCGUAACAAGGUAGC